GAGUUUUCUCCAACAGAAGCCCUGCGAAAACCCUACAUCAGCCCCCUUUCUCGUGUCUGCACGUCGAGUCGUCUCUAUCACACGCCCGCUUGCCCCGUCCUAUCGAAGAAAAACCCCCCUUUCUCGCGUUCUCGAUCGAUGUCUACGAUGUGAGUGGCUUGCUCCUCCACUCUUUCCCUAGUUCUUUGCCUCUCUCCUUGCUCUGAUUAGUUCGCUUCCAAUUCGUCUCCGGGUCUCGGCUCUGUGUCAAGAAUUUUCCCAAGUACGUCAACGAGGACCGCCUUCGUGAAUUCUUCUCUCAGAAGGGGGAGGUCACCGAUGCCAAGCUUAUGCGCACUUAAGUAAGAGAUUGAAUGAAUUGCUCUGUUGCCCUAUGAAGCACUCUAUAUUGGUAGUUGCGUCGUUUAUGUAUGCUUCCUUGGAAAUAUUUCUGUUCAUUGAGCUUUGAUAAGCUCCAACUAUAUAUUCGAGGAGUAGCGAAUUUGUGCCGUUAUAAAGGUCCCAUCUUUUCUUCACGGGAUCAACGCAUUUUUCUUUCUUAGCUAGAAUUACCUGCUCAUUAGGCAAGUUUAAUAAGUGGGAAAAUAUUUUCUCGCCCUAGAUAGUUUCCUUCAUUCAGUGCGUGCUUAUCAAACACUAUAUUGGUAGGGUUUAGUUUUUCUAAUUUGAAUGUUCUUCUCUGGCUUUCAUUCAUUAUUGGGAGAUUAGUCAUUUUGUUCUGGCCUUCAUUCAUUAAUUUAAAUAUCUCAUCAUUUUACUGAGUGGAUCAAGAACCUAAUUCGAUUCACUUGUUUGUUUAUUUGUCACUUAAUGAUUUGCCUGGUGGCCAGUUUAAAACCAAGAAACAGAAAAAAUAUAUAUCAUUUUCUUCUGAGAUGACAUUUUUUAUUUGUAUAGUAAUUUUUAUGCCUUUGGGAUCUAUAUGUUAAACUUGUUUCUGUUAGAGAUGGAAAGAGAAGGCAAUUCACAUUUAUUGGGUUCCGAACUGAGAGGGAAGCUGAAGACGCCUCAGCUACUAUAACAAUUCUUACAUGGAUACAUGCAAAUAAUUUUUUUUGGAAAAGGAAAACAUAAAUUCAUUUAAAAUUCAAACUGCUCAGUGAGCAAAGGCAACGGUAUUGUUCGCGGAUCAAAAUUGCUUUCCCAGAAGACUCCACAGUUAACCACCCUUCCCCAGUUAGCUAGUCUAUGGGUCGAGUCUUUAUAGGCUCAACGUAUGAGUUGAAAGUCAAUCACAUUGACUUCCCUGGCCAAGUUCACUUAUCACUAAGGAGACUGUAAAGGUGCCAGGGCACCCUCCUACAGUUCCCUACAAAAUUGAUCCAUUCAUUGGAAUCUGUACAAAAAUUAUAUUCUUCCAUCCUUGCAUUUGGGCUCUCUCCAGAGCCUUCAAAAUAGCUCUGCCCUCAGUUUGUUUGGGGUCUUGCACCUUGCAUCCCUCAAAUCCAGCUGCUAGAAGUCUGCCGUCCUUGGUUUUGAUGAUGAAUCCCAAACCUGUAUUAUAGGAAGAAAAAGAGCCAUCACAAAGUAUCACAAAUUCAUGUGUCCCCUCAAUGGAAAUAUCUGAACAUUCCUCUCAAGGCGCUGGAUAGGUUUCAGGAAGUCAAUAGUGGCAGCCACUAUAUUCCAUUAUUCCUGUACAUAGCUAUGUAAUCUGAGGUAGGCAGUCUAUUCCAUAAGAAAAUUUUUAUUUUGGGAUAAACAUGUAAAUAUGCCAAAGUGCUGUCUGACCAGACCAAGAUGCAUCCAUGGAUGGGGCUCCCUCUCUCAACAAACUGUCAGCACUAUUAACCAAAGCUUCACUACUUGGAGUAAGAGCCCAUACUCAGCGGUCAAUGACCAGGGCUGCUAGAAAUAUCAAUACAAAGAAUUCUAUCGAUCAGGAGGGGAUGAAAACAGUUUGAUGAAAGCAAGAAAUCCCAAAACCCAUUUAAUAACAGAUCUGAAACCAUCUGCAAAUUCGACAUCAAAUCAGCGUUUACAAAAGUCGGCCGCUUGCUUAUUGGAAUACCAUCGAUCCAAGGAUAUGUAGAAAUCAAAGUUGAUGUACCAUCCACCAUGCUGCGUCCGAGACCUCGCCUAAUAGACAUAAUCAAGUUAUUUGUGAUCCUCCAGUUCCAUGAAACCGGUCUAUUGUGAUUGAGAUUCCAAGUCUUUAUUUUUUACUUUUGUUCUUGUUAUCUAGUCACGAUCACUAUUUUUCAAGAACCUGAAUUUCCAGGCAAUUGAUGACUCUUUGAAGAAACAUUUUAGUGAUAAAAUGAAGGAUGGGACAAUAAAAAGCGUAAAGGUAAAAAAGCACCAAAAAAUGGAAAGGAUGUUUCCAUUGGUUUUGGAUUUGUUGAAUUCGAUUCUGUGGAAACAGCAACCAGUGUGCGUAAGGAUUUACAGGGAACUGUUCUGGAUGGUCAUUCUCUUAUAUUGCAACUUUGUCCUUCCAAGAAAGCCAGACAGGUUCCUAAAAAAGACAAGAAGAUUAAGAGCUCAACAACAUCGAUCGUAAAAAAAUGUUUUUGCAUUUGAGGCAACCGAAAAGGAUCUAAAGCAGCUGUUCAGUCCAUUUGGUCAGUGAAGUUCGGGGUCAUGACAAGGGCUAUGCAUUCUUCUAGGAUGCUACUGAGCAAGAGGCCCAAAAUGCAUUGGAGAAUCUUUCAAGCACGCAUCUCUAGUCAUCUGCGAGCAAAAGAGAGAAACAAUAGAAGAUCUAAGAGCAAGAGCUGCUGCUCAGUUUGGGGUUGACAAUGGUGGCUUAUCGAAUAAAACGAAGGCCACUUCUGUGGUUGAAGGCUCCAAGGAGUUAAAUCAUUCUUUCGGCAUUUAUUGAUUCAUAGAGCCCAAAGGGUAAAGCAUUCCUCAAUUUCUGCCAAAAGUUUCUGUCUGUAAAGAAUGUUCUAUCGCAGAACGAAUAACUGAUAAGAAAAAACACUGAUUCCUAGCAUUUAAUU